rnacentral:lncRNA from 1 species
ACAGUAGAUUACAAAAUAUGAAGUCAAUACAGCCACGUGACUUACUAUUAUAAAUGCCUUCAUUCUCAGCAAUCAACAAUCUCUUCAGUUCAGAUAAAUAUCAAAGCCUAACUUUCUAAAAGACGAAAAUCAUGAAAGCCAUUGUUUUAUUCUUCCUCUUAGCUUUUGUAUUUUGUACUCUAGAGGUGCCUGUGGAAGCUGAUCGCGGCUGUCCAUCUGAUCGACGAUGUAAUGCAUAUUGUCGGAAAAUCGGUAGCAGAGGAGGAUUUUGUACAGGACCUAGGAAGUUAAGAUGUGCUUGUUUACGUUAGAAGGUUACUUGUUUCAAGAUUUAAUAGAAAAAUACAAAAAAUUCGCUUUAUUUUUCAUUUAAAAAAAUCUAUUUUGUUUUUUUAUAUCUAAAAUUUGUAAGACUGUAGCAAUGCAACAUUAUAUGCAACAUAUUUGUAAUUUGUUAUAAAUUUAAAUAAAUAUCUUCAUAGUGAU